rnacentral:rRNA from 1 species
AGUGAACGCUGGCGGUAGGCCUAACACAUGCAAGUCGAACGGCAGCACAGUAAGAGCUUGCUCUUACGGGUGGCGAGUGGCGGACGGGUGAGGAAUACAUCGGAAUCUACUUUUUCGUGGGGAUAACGUAGGGAAACUUACGCUAAUACCGCAUACGACCUACGGGUGAAAGCAGGGGAUCUUCGGACCUUGCGCGAUUGAAUGAGCCGAUGUCGGAUUAGCUAGUUGGCGGGGUAAAGGCCCACCAAGGCGACGAUCCGUAGCUGGUCUGAGAGGAUGAUCAGCCACACUGGAACUGAGACACGGUCCAGACCCCUACGGGAGGCAGCAGUGGGGAAUAUUGGACAAUGGGCGCAAGCCUGAUCCAGCCAUACCGCGUGGGUGAAGAAGGCCUUCGGGUUGUAAAGCCCUUUUGUUGGGAAAGAGAAGCAGCAGGUUAAUACCCCGCUGUUCUGACGGUACCCAAAGAAUAAGCACCGGCUAACUUCGUG